rnacentral:lncRNA from 1 species
AAUAAAACAUGGCCAUUAACAAGUUCAAGAUUGAUAUAUAUGUAAACGUAAUUAUGAAAAUCUAAAAUGAAAUCUAUAUGAAAUUGGAUAAAGUUGUCAUUCUUUGAUGGUGAACCCCGGUGAAUGUAAUACAAUACACAUUUCUUUGUUGUUUUUUUUUUGUUUUUUUUGCAUUAUUUAUAUAUUGGUAUUGGAAUAUUGAUCAGUAUUGAGUCCCAUUUGGGAAUUGUCUUUCUUUGGUACCGUUAAACUUGCGCACGGGAAUAUUAUCGACUGAAUGCAGGAUAUAGAAAGUUAAAUAUUUAAAGAGAUGAGAAAAAAGAAGGCGACCUUGUCCCUUACACGGACAAAGCGAUAUCGGUCAAACAAGGAGUACAGGACUGCACUGAAAGCAAGUCAUCCUGUUGAUGGACCGUCAAAGUCACCACCACAGCCUAAGAUAUCAAAUAUCUUCAAGAAAAGGAAGUUCAGAUCUCCUGUGAAGUCACCCAUGACUAGGAAAUUCAUGACACCGACAAAGUCACCACACAGAAAAGGGUUUCGUCAACUGCAGUUUGGAACACCUUGUGAUAACAGUGUUGGCUCGAGUGAGGUUGGCGUCUUCUCUUCACUUUUACCAGUCUCACGAGAAAUGGUAUUGACGUCGCCACCGGACAAUAUUGGCUCACCCGGGUACAAGUGAAAUCCCAAACGAUAUAAGUGUUAGCUCGAGUCAGGCUGAGAUCUUUACUGCAGUGGGUCCAAUCUCACCAGUAAUGCUGCUUACUUCAUCACCGCCCACUAUUGAAUCACCUGAGACAGAGUACACUGACAUCCCAAAUGAUAACAGUGUCAACGAUCCUAGUGAGCCCAAGGAUACGAUAAUUUGAACAUAAUAAGUUGAUUAAGUUGCUGUGUUUUUCUUUGAAAUAUCCGUAUUUAAUUUUGUAAGGGAUUGUGUAUGACAAAAUUAGAGUAUAUCUAAUCAUUAAUUCCACAUGGUAAAAUAGUCCAAAAUAAUAGUCAACAAGAAAAUAUCAAGCGUAAAGAUAUAACAAAAUUGUCGGAUGGAUAAUGUGACAAAGACAGUUCCAUAUCCGUACAAGGUUGACCAUUUUUCCUAGCGCAAAUAUGUCUAAUUAAUGUAUUAUGGAUACGCAUGAAAAAGUAAUCUGUGAGACUGUGACCAUUCCUUAUCCACCUCAGUCGCCGACACUAACAUGAUCUGGACAUUGUCCUAAUUUUGGACUUAACAUUAGUCAACUUAACUUUCGUGGUUAUCUUAGAAAUCUGCGUUUUCAUCUAGCACCAAUAACGUUGGCGUCAAAGCUUUCAUACAAUACCUGAGCUAAUUUCCCAUGGCGUAAAUUUUAUGUGCACUUAGAUACGUGUAUGUUUAACAAAGGUAUCACCCGGGCUAACACCCGCAUGCCUCUUCUCGUGCUUAAUUAAGCCAGACUUGCUUUUAUAUUCUUUAGCGCAUAGCGCACAGACGAACAUUUUCUGAAAUAUACAAUUAAUAUUUAUUAAAAGAAUAUCAGCAUAACUAGAAAAAAAAGAAAAGGAGGAAGUUCAGGUUAAUUUACAUCCUGGUGGAUCGAUUUUUUAUCACCCGUUUACAUGAUGGAUCUUUUCAUCAGCCGUUUACAUGAUGGAUCUUUUUAAAUUUUCUCUCAAAACAUCCUUAAUACAUAACCACGGGACAAACUUGAACGUUGAUGAUAGUGUAUGGGGAUUUUGAAAGACCCGACGACAAUUGUUCGAGCUCGUGCACGGUUGUAUAAGCGGCUAUUAAGCCAGACAUGCAAAUCUAUUCCGUCUACGCAGUGGAUCUUUGAGAAAAAAAUUUAAACAACGUAAUCUAUAAAACUACAAGGACUGUUAGAAAAGUAUAUACACCGGGGACACUAUAGGACAUAUAGUUCUUCAAUGCACCGAAAGAGAUUUUGCAAAACUGUUUAGUUUGAAAUGUAGCCGAAAUACAACGCAGUGUCAAGGCCGCUUCCAGCAUGGCUCCGCUUCCAUAUAUACGGCAUGCAAGGGUUUCUGGAUGAAAUAGUUUUCACGGCCAUAUUUGACCUUUCCUUCGAGCCUCAAGGGAACACCCAGCUCAAGGGAUAUUCUUCAUUGUCCUCAUUCAUCAUUUAUGGAAGUUGUAGCUUUUUUGUGGAGAGAUUGUAUGUGUAUUUAUACAUACAACGCGGGGUGCAGUGGUACUUUAGACUUCCAUUGUACAUGUAUACUUUACACGUGAGAAUUCACGUUCGGCUUUGUUCUAAGGCAAUUUGACGCAUGUUCCUGGGACUACAGCCACUACCCGCUGAAUCUGAUGGGACUUAUUACCCUCGUGUACGCCCCAGGGUGGUUGCUUUUAUGUGUUUAUCAAGACAUUCUCGCACAUUUUCUUCUUUCACUCAGAAUUACAACGGAGGUUCAUCACGACAAGAUUGCAGAUAAAAAUGAUUAACAACAAUAUCGUUGUUAUCGUUACAGUUAGUUCUUAUGGAGUGUAGAAAUAGAUCCCCACCACAAAGAAAUUCAACAUCCGUCGGAAAUUUAGAAGUGUUGAAUUUAAUCAAAGUGCUAACUUUUAAUAAAUGUAUCGAGAAUUUGUUUGACUAUGGAGUGUAAUUUCAACAGUCGUGAUUAAAAACAAUAAUAUUUCAACAAAUUUAUGUCAUUACAAAUAUUAUUGUUAUUACGUGUUUUUUACUUGUUUUCACCCUUAAUUUGUUUUUGAUGACAAAUUUAGUCCCUAUGUAGAAUAUAGAUUUUAUUGUUUAUUAAAGUCUCAUCAAAGUACACAAAUCAAUAUUAAAGACAUGAUAAAAUUCUAUAUAUGCUUUUUUUACAAAUUUGUGUCCCUUUUUUGGUUAAACUGGUAUAACAGUUACCGCUAGUGGGAAUGAAUUUGAACCUCAUAUACUUGUUCCCUGUGAAAAUCUGACAUGCAAAGCACAGGUUCCGUAACUCUAUUUUGCAUAUUACAAAGUUAUUCUCCAUUUUGAGUUGUUAAGUUUUUGUUGGUAAGCUGGCAUCUCAGUAACCGCUCGUGGAGAUAGAUUGAAACUUCAAACAUUACUUUACUGUAAUGCUUUUAAGUGCAAUAUACAGGUACAAUAACUCUGUUUUGCUAUUUCAAAAAGUUA